rnacentral:rRNA from 1 species
CCUACGGGAGGCAGCAGUAGGGAAUCUUCCACAAUGGACGAAAGUCUGAUGGAGCAACGCCGCGUGAGCGAUGAAGGCCUUCGGGUCGUAAAGCUCUGUUGUUAAGGGAAGAACAAGUAUCCGGAGGUAACUGCCGGUACCUUGACGGUACCUAACCAGAAAGCCACGGCUAACUACGUGCCAGCAGCCGCGGUAAUACGUAGGUGGCAAGCGUUGUCCGGAAUUAUUGGGCGUAAAGCGCGCGCAGGCGGUCCUUUAAGUCUGAUGUGAAAGCCCACGGCUCAACCCGUGGAGGGUCAUUGGAAACUGGGGGACUUGAGUGCAGAAGAGGAAAGCGGAAUUCCACGUGUAGCGGUGAAAUGCGUAGAGAUGUGGAGGAACACCAGUGGCGAAGGCGGCUUUCUGGUCUGUAACUGACGCUGAGGCGCGAAAGCGUGGGGAGCAAACAGGAUUAGAUACCCUGGUAGUCCACGCCGUAAACGAUGAGUGCUAAGUGUUAGAGGGUUUCCGCCCUUUAGUGCUGCAGCUAACGCAUUAAGCACUCCGCCUGGGGAGUACGGCCGCAAGGCUGAAACUCAAAGGAAUUGACGGGGGCCCGCACAAGCGGUGGGAGCAUGGUGGUUUAAUUCGAAGCAACGCGAAGAACCUUAC